UACGAAGGGUGCAAGCGUUACUCGGAAUUACUGGGCGUAAAGCGUGCGUAGGUGGUUUGUUAAGUCUGUUGUGAAAGCCCCGGGCUCAACCUGGGAAUGGCAAUGGAUACUGGCAGGCUAGAGUGCGGUAGAGGGUAGUGGAAUUCCCGGUGUAGCGGUGAAAUGCGUAGAGAUCGGGAGGAACACCAGUGGCGAAGGCGGCUACCUGGACCAGCACUGACACUGAGGCACGAAAGCAUGGGGAGCGAACAGG
rnacentral:rRNA from 1 species